GGCCCUUUUGCUCUUUUAAUCAAGAAGCGAUUGAUUUCUGCGCUUCUGCGCUUCUUCGCUUCUGCCAUGGAAGCGAUCGCUUCUCUAGGUCGCCUCGCUUCAGCCUGCAAAAAGCGAUAGAUGGUGGCUUCGCGCUUUAAGUGACGAAGCGACCGCUUUUCAAAACACUGAUAUAGCAUGAGUAUUUGUUAGUACAGUGUGAUUAGGAACAUAAAUAUUCGGCUUUUCUCUUUGCUCGAUUGACUUUCUAUGAAAUCUUAUCAUCUCUUAGAUUGAGUUGCAUGGUCCAUGCUGUAGGUUGAAAUAUGAUAUUUCCUUUGCUAACUGCACAUCAAUUUCAUUUGGAUUCUGUGAUCUUUAAUUAUCAAAAAAAGAUGGUCUGAUCUUAUAUUUGGAUGAAGGUUGCCUACAGAGUUCCUAUUUCUACAGAAGAAAAGAGUUAAGACCUUCAAAGAAUGUUUAGCCAUGCGAAAAUCAUGACUGUAUUAUUAGUUGUUUUAUAUUGUACAUAAGUUUAUGGUCCCUUGGUACCUGCUGCUCAAAUGGUGCAAUGUUCUGAAGCACGUCCAAGAGUUCUUUUUUAAAUUACUUUUUGUAUCUUUCUUCUUGCGUAAAUGAGUGAAAGGAAGAGAUUCACAAAGAUUCCAAAAAUCAAGAAUUGUGGCUGGAGAACAGAAAACAAUUAGUGCCUUAAGAAACCUUAGUAUUUUCGAGUGUUGGUUUAGGAAAGAUGCGAAAGAGGAGAGUGACCUCUAGAUUUAAUUAUUGUCUUCCUCCGACAGCAUCAGGAAUGAUCACUUGUUCCAGCAUUUAUUGAGUGUUGGUUUAGGAAAGAUGCAAAAGAGGAGAGUGACCUCUAGAUUUAAUUAUUCUCUUCCUCCGACAGCAUCUGGAAUGAUCACUUGUUCCAGCAUUUUUCUGCUUAUUCUUCUCACUUUACCAUUUUGCAGGAGG
rnacentral:lncRNA from 1 species